rnacentral:rRNA from 1 species
UACGUAGGAUCCAAGCGUUAUCCGGAUUUAUUGGGUUUAAAGGGUGCGUAGGCGGAUUGAUAAGUUAGAGGUGAAAUGUCCGAGCUCAACUCGGGAACUGUCUCUAAUACUGUUGAUCUAGAGAGUAGAUGCGGUAGGCGGAAUGUAUGGUGUAGCGGUGAAAUGCUUAGAGAUCAUACAGAACACCGAUUGCGAAGGCAGCUUACCAAUCUAUAUCUGACGUUGAGGCACGAAAGCGUGGGGAGCAAACAGG